AUCUCAUCCUCACGCACAACCGUCGCACUUCCCUCUCACGGACGACUGUCGCAAGGGAAGACAGCGGGACACAAUGGAUCCACACCUGGCCGCCGCCAGGGGCUCGCUGCCGAUCACGCUUGAAGCCGGGACGGAGAGCAUGGCGUGGGGGCUUGGAGCAUGGCGGUCGCCAUCCCCGCCGCCGAGGCCGUCAUUCUCGCCGUCGCCAUCGCGGCCGCCAUCCCCACCAUCGUGGCCCCGUCCCUGUUGUGCGGCCGUGCUGUGGGUGGGGCUCCGAUCUAGCCCUCGCCUUGCUGGGGGAGGAGGCGGAGAAGCUGAACGGCGCCGAGAGCAGCCACCACUAGCAUCAGCAGGCGAGAAUGAAGGUCGGUGUGCGGCGUGCGGAGCACCAGUGCGGGGAUGUGGGCGAGGGCAAGGCCGGCGUGCGGCUGUGGCUCGACCCUUCCUCUCCUCUUGCAGACCAACGCGGUGGAGCUUCCACUGCCCGGCUGGUGACCGUGCCCAGCCCAGGAUCCUGUCCGGCGGUGGUGGAGAGCAGGCGAUGAGCACCUACCAGGUAUAUGCUUAUAUGCCCAUCCCUUCCCCUGCAUCCCUGCAAAACCGAGAGCACCCAUACCCUAAGUGUUAGGAUCUGAUCUGAUUAUCUGAUUACAAGCGUAGCAUAUAUAUAUUUAUAAUAUUAUGCCUUGGAUCUGAUAUGAUUAUGUGUGUAAGUGUUUUUUUUUUGCAAACAUCAUAUGUAAGUCUAUGAAGCCAAUGGCAUAUUUGAUUUACUAUAAUGUUAGUGCUAUGUAGGGUUGGACUGAAAAUUUGCCCUGCUACUGCUUGGACUAAAAAUACACUGUUAUGCUGCAUAUAUAAUUAUAGAGUAUAGUUUUUGGUGGUCCAUAUCUCUGUAUUUCCUCUUUACCAUCUAUCUCUGAAUUUCUGCAGGGUAUGAGCAGUCCCUAUGGUUUCAUUUCAUUGGUAGGAAUUGGAUCGUUUUUUUCCAUAUUAAGUCAGAGCGGCUGCUGCUAGGCGACUAGCCAAAGCAACUGCAGAAAUAACCUAUGAAGAUCGUCAAUUUAACGAUUGCUUAAAAUUAACAAUGAUAACUACCCAGAAUAUGAGCCUCAGUUCCUUUUUACACUCUUUGUUGCUGUUUUUUUUUCUUGCUUGGAAUAUACUAAACAAAUUGUUGCAUCUCCAGACUUAAACUAAAUGUUUAUUGUCAAUAAUAUGCUGCUCCAGGCUUCCGGCUACUAUGGAAGUGAUGUUCAAUCUACUACUUUCGGGGAAUUUGUUUUCUUAAUUGGUCGCUUAUGAUUAUUGUUUCAUUUGUAAACAACGGUGUCGCUUAUAAUUUGACGCUAGGGUUCGUUUCAGUGAAUUUAUCCAUUACAACUUUAAAAACAACGGUGUUAUAGGAAUUUUCAGUUCAAUGCAGGUCGUUGAUCACUUGAUUGAACAGGAAGUUGGUGAUAUCUUGAAUCAUGAAUUUAUUUUUCGCUAUACUAUAAUGGUGUCAACUGAUGUGAAUUACUAACCCUGUGAAAAUUGUGUGGGUCAAGAAAUUUCUGAGGCACCUUCGAGAUGAGGUUGAUCUGCAUGUGGUGUUGCUGCAUCUAUAUUGAAGCCUUCUAUGAAGCUUCCACACAAGCUUAUGAUAUUUUAUAUGAGAGACAUGAGGAGCAGUGUGUUUGGCUAUAUGAGAAAGAUACUAGAAGGGCUUCAAGUGGGUUCUGGUGAUAUUCAAAAGCGCUAUACAUUAAUAAUAGCGGCUCUUGUUAAGCUGUAACUAUGGUGAAUUUUUCAUUGUUCAGUUCUCAUUUUCACAUUAUUUGAUACUUCAUGGUUAACGACAUUUUUUUAAUGUAAGCUGUAUAAGUUGUGACGGGGAGCUAAUGUGAAGAAGGAUGGGAAAAAAUAUCAGAAAUAUAAGAGGCCUCCAGAAGCAAAGCAAACGUUUACUUUAGGAUACGCAAAUUGGAUUGAUUGGGCUCCCUUGCUGCUAGUGCUGGACACUCUUCAGGUUGAAAUCCAGUACAUGCUAAGUGCAGAAGGAUCCUCACGUGCUUAGAUACUGGUGUUUGAUACAGGAUGAUCAAUAUAACAAAUGAACAAAUUAUUUCCUUUUGCAAAAAUAAAUGCCGCACUGGCACUGAUAGUAGCAAAGAGAUAGGAUGCAGUGUCAUAUCUAGAAUCAAAUUUGGUAGGUGCGUUCUGCAAAAUUACAGGAUAUCUUUUGGUCUUAGGUUCAACAGGGAGAGAAACACACUAUAUAUCACAUUAAGUUAAUCCUUGUUAUAUUCAACAAUAUAAGCUUGAUUAUGUAAGUUUAUAUAUCUCCUUUGGGUGAA